rfam:Eubacterium ventriosum ATCC 27560 Scfld0224 genomic scaffold, whole genome shotgun sequence.
GUGGUUUAAUACCAAUUGCCGAAGACAGUAGGUGCCUACGGGGAUUUAUCCUUGACAAGGGCGUAAACUUAGUACCUACCGAGGAAUGAAGUUAUAAGUAUGACUGACAAUACCUCUCUGUUUCGGCAGAGAGGUUUUUUAUACUAUUGU